UAACUAUUUAUUUGGCAACUAGUUAUGCACUAGGAACCAUGCUAAUUUCUGUAGAUAAAAUGGUGAAAAGGAUACAUAGAUAUUGCCUCAUGUUUUUUUUUUUCUUACCAGCAACUACUUCUGUGACAAAUUAAGUGUAAUUGUAAUUAAUGCAAUGAUCGACAUGUACAAGAUGCUAUGAACACUAAUAACCUUUCUGAGGCUGGGAAGUUCUUGAAGAAAUGAUUUGUAAGCUGAGAUCUGAAGAUGAAUAGAAGUUUACAAGAUGAAACAAAUAUUGAUUAAACAAUGAGAAAGUACAGAAAUAGACUUCGUAAAGAACUCAAGAUAAAUCAGACUCAAAUUGUGCACCCAAGGAAUUUUAAAUAUAAAAGCUCUUUCUACAGAAUGAAACAUGAUGUGGACACCGGCAAUUCCAACACUCUUCCUUGAACACACAGGAAUUAUCCAGCACACAGAUUGAAACCACCAAUCCCUUCUGUCAGAGCACAGCUAUGAAGAAAAGGCCCCCCUUUUCUUACCUACAGUCCUGUAUUUUUGACAACAUUAUCCGAUGUAGAAGACCUGUUACUGUCUUGUGUACACUGGAGAGAAAAAAAAGAAUCGGUGGGCCUCGUAGAAAUCUCCAGUGGUCCCUUAAACAGGAGCUAAGGGAGCAGGCUGGAGGCAAAGAGGGGGAAAAACAACAGCAAAUACAAACCCAAAUCAAAACAAACAUGCUAACUUUAGUCCAUCCAGAUAUGAAAACUAUGUAGUGAAAAGGAAUCCUCCCAUAAGAAGAAAAGUGUCAUUUGUAUUUUUUCCUGGUUCUCUGAGGAUGUCAGCCUUGGAGCGACACAUAAUGAAAGCUUGACAGAAAGGGAAAUGCAUAUCCUGUCUACUUAAUGAAACCCCCAACCCAAACCAAAGAAACAGAAAAUUUUAUAUGCGCUCUUAAAUAAAAUAGGUGUUAGUGGAUUGCUUUACCA
rnacentral:lncRNA from 12 species